CUAAAUAAUUUCUUUAUUGAAAAUAGAAGAGAGCAAAGUCACUAGGUUAACACUGCCAGUUUGGUGUAUUUAUACUCCGGGUGUGCUCAUCUCUCAAAAUACUUCAACACCGCGGGUCCCAUUUUUCUGAGAUGAUCUGUUAUUUACCUUCUGAGUGAGUUUCUAAACACCCUGCUGUUAUACAACAUGGCCCUUUUCCAUUUUAGAAUAUGCAAAAGCAGUCAUUUCUCUGAGUUUUCAAUUUUUAGUAUACGUUUUGUUUUCAGAUUCAGUUCACUAACAUGUGCUGAUUGAAACACUAUUUAUUCUUCCCCAGAUUCCUCCAUUAAAAAAAACCCCUGCAGAACUUAAUUAUAAUUUCAUUUCCUUGCUGUUACAGGCACUUUUGUAAUGAAGAACCAAAUUCAAAAAGAGAGGGUACAGGUGAGAAGGCCAUGACACAUGAACAAAGACACCUAUGUAAAAUCUGGUGCUACAGGUUCCUUCACGGGAAGUAAUAAAGUCCCUUGUUUUCAGCUGAACAUAAGGAGAGUGAGAAGAAGUAUAGGAUAAGGCAGAAGAUGAGCACAUCAUUUGAUUUGCUUUCUCUUCUUGUCAAACUCCAACUAAGAAAAUGAUGAAAACAGGAACGUUUUCAAAAACAACCCUUGUUUUUCCUUCUAAGUUGAUGGCUUAUUCUUAGGGGGGUGGUUUUAUUGGUUUUUAAAUUUACUUCAGGACAACAGGUGGCCCAUUUCUACUUAAAUGUCAUCACCCAGGGCCUCCAUUUUCUCAGGUAGAUAUUUGGAUCCCACAUUGCCAAGUGCUCUGUGGGAUUCAUUCAUUAUCCUAAAGAGAUAUUUAAAGACACAAUUCUAAAAAAGGAUACCAUCGGUUCACAUGAAAAUAUUAAUGCUGAGAAAUUAUAUCCAUUAAAGUGGUACCAUUACAAUAGAAAAGUAAGGAACACAAAAAACUACAAUUAUCUGAAAGACCUCUAUGCUAAAAUAGCUGUACAGCUACUUAAAUAGCUCUAAUUACUGAUAAAUCUCUAAGAUGAUGAAACCUUUCAAAUUCCAAGGCUCAGGCUUAGUAGCUUACCUAUGAGAACAUUGCUUAAAGAUUAAUUCACGCAAAUGUUUGUAUUCACAUAAAGCAACCACUGCCCAACAGCAUUACAAUGUUGUCAAAAAGUUCUUGCACAUCAUACUCCAAUUUUUAAGAAUUACAUAAUCUGCGAAAGACGGAAAAAUGUGAGACCCUGUUUAACUGGUUAUAUUUAUAAUGCCAUGAAUUGUGAAGUUCGAUCUUGAAAUUCUUCCUUAAUCCAAAUACAUUAUUUUCUGUUUAUUAAGUUUAAAAAAAAAUCCCCUAUACAUUCUACUUGUAUAUUUCCUAGGCUAUGGCAUGUCUCACAAUACUCAUUUUUCCAAAGUUAUUUUGGAAGCUAUAGAUGGAAUGAGAUUACAGGUUUCUCUAAUGAAAGAAUACAAAAAAAUCAUAUAAAAUAUUUGUUAGUAUUUCAUUUAACUAGCAUAGUGUCCAGUUACAAAAAUGUUGAAGAUGAUAUUUUUUCAAUACCUAAAUAGACUAUAAAAUCACCAUAUAGCUUUAAAAGAGAAAAGUAAGGACAAUGGACUAUAGAGUCACUGUUGAAAACAACUUUGUAGUAUAUCAUAUUUUCACCUUUGUUCUUAGAAUUUAUUUUUCCAUGAAAAAGUAGAUUAAUUGCACCUAUGUGAUUGACAGCAGUUGAAAUGGGAGUGAGGCAGGAUAUAGAAUUAGAAUGCAUCGAUAGUUAUGUAAAAGAGAUUUUUAUAAAGAGUAUAUUCUACUGUUAAUAGAAGACAAAACCACAAAUUCAAGUCCAAGUUUUACAAUUUUUCAUUAGGCAUUGACAGUGAACUAUAACCAUUGUAACCAUACAAAAUUAAUCUAUCCAAUAAUAUUUUAGAACUGACAGUAUUUUCAAUGACUUGUUUGCUGCAUGUAGAUAUAGUCCUAUUUGUUUCCUUAUUUUAAAAAUAUAUUUCUUAAUACAAGUUACGAAAACCAAGAAAAUACCUGCCACAUAUAAAAAUUUACUUUCAGUGCAUGUUCUGCCCAGACAGAAAGCAUUAGCUUGCUUUUCAGAUUGUAUCAUCCGCGGCUUGAAGACAAAUAAAAUCUCUCUGUAUUUGUUUAGCUGCUUGUACAUUUCCUUGUGGUUUUAGUGACAUUAUCUUAUUUUAGUCUCACAAUCAACCUUUGAUCUUUGCAGAUUUUGCACAAAAGACUACAUUGUCAAAUCACACUCAGGGGAACUAGAGAUCUUAGCCAGUUUCAGGCUUUUGUAAUAAUUUCAAGGAUGCCAGUAAUCACUUGAGAAAGGGAAGCAAGGAGAGGGCCAGAGUCAAAAGUACUCUCUACACUUUCCUUCUUGCAGCCCUAGGAUGUGGUCUGGUCCCAAUUAACACAUCUCUAAGAGAUGUAUGGAUCAUAUUAUUUAUACAGAAAGUGCUUUUCGAUCCCAAAACAUCAAUGUUUUAUACUCAGUUUCACUGUCAUUGUUUACAUGAUCUUUUGUCCAACAGACUCUUGGUCUAUGCAUAACCAAAUAUAAUGAAACAAUCUGAUACAAUGAAACAAUCUAAUACAAUGAAAUUCAUACAGCUAAAAGCAUAGGUAAGGAUUUCCACUACAAGAUACACUGGUUUUUGAUAAUUAUAUUAAUGUACUUACCAGGAUGUCUGAACAGACACUGCUUUCUUUCCCAAGGUCAUUCCCACCCCAAAAGACGAGAAUGGGUUGAAGACCUACUGUUUAACCUUCAACUUCCCAUGGGCCAUAAAGGGAACCUUAAACUCAGAGGUUCUGCGUUUCUGAUGAAGAAGAUUAAGGCAGACAGAAUUUAGGCAAAUGCGCAUGAUUUACAUGUGUAAUCUAAAAGAACACAACUCAUGGAAACAGAGAGCACAGUAUGGUUACCAGGGGUAGGGGAGGGGAAAAUAAGAGAUAGGGAUCAAGGGAUAGAAAGAUUCAGUUGUGCAAAAUGAAUAAGUUCUGGAACAUAAGGUACAACCCUGUGACCAUAGUUAACAAUAUUGAAAUUUGCUUAACAGAGUAGAUCCUAAAUGUUCUCACCACACACACUCAAGAAAACUAUAACGAUGGGGGUGAUGAAUAUGUUAAUUAGCUUGCCUACAGUGAACCCUUUACCCUGUAUGUAUAUCAGAUCAUCAAGUUGUACAUAUUAAAUAUAGACAUGAGUUUGAAUUGCCAACUUUCCCUCAGGAAAGCUGGGAGGAAAAGCUAAAUUUAUGAAAUAUAAUUCCUAGCUAAUUUUAAUGAAAAUGUCGAGCUAGCUUGAUAAGCAGACAAUAGUUCUUCGGUUAGUCUUAGAAAAACUAGAAAAGGAAACCCGUAUUUAAUCAAGAUGACAUUUUCCUCAUCUUUCUAUUUCUGCCUUUUUUCAUAGUUGUCACCAGCAAGGUUGGCCGGCAAUACAUUUUAGUUACUAAAACACAGAGCACAGCCUUUCUCAGGGACCAAGCUGAGUAAUGUUUCCUUGGGUUUUAAAGUUUUCCAGCAGGAGUACAGAAGCUUUAUAUAUAUGGCCACGCUUUUGCCAGAAAUGGCUUAGGGGAAAAGCUACCUUAUAAAAGCAAUGGUAUAUUUUGCUAUUCAUUCCUUUACUCAUUCAAUGGAUGCUUACUGAGUUCCUAUGAGUCUAUCACUACUCUAGGCCCUGGGGCUGCAGAGAUGGAAGGGAUACUCUUAUGUAGUUUGCAAGCCCUUGUCUACCUUGAGAAAUCCUUCCUGAGAAAACAAUUUUAGGCCUAGACGUACCUGAAGGAUGAGCAGGAAUUAAUGUACAUAAAAAAGUAGGAGAAAGAGCAUCCCAGGCAGUGGACCAUCAGGUGCAAAGACCUUGAGUCAAGAAACAGAAAGGUGCCUGCUAUGUUCAUAGACCUAAGAAGAAUCAAGAUGAUUAAAGCAGAGUCCAUGCUGAAGCUUGAGAGUCCAUUAAGUUCUACAUUUUAGAAACCCUUAAAGCCAUGACAAUGGUUUGGGAUUUUAUCCUAAGGUCAAGAUAAAAGUAUGAGGAGAUUGUAAGCAGAGAUCUAAACAGAAAUAACUGGUGGUGCUGCAUGUAAAUGGAUUGCAGGCUCUCGACAAGGGUUCUUGCAAGAGUCCAUGCAAAAGAUUAGAACUGAUUUACAAGGAGACAUGGGAAAUGCUGCAAGAUUUAUUUGAAAGAUAUACCUGAGACAGGAUCUGAUGAAUGGUUAUGAAAGAUGUGAGAGAAGGUGUCAGAGAUGAUGCACAAGAUAGUUUUAGCUGCAACAAAGAGAAACCUAACCUAGCUGAUUUAAGCAGAAAAUGUAAUAUGAAGUUAUAAUAGGAAGCUAACAGAGUCAGCGAGAGAUCUGAGGAACACCACUCAGGCACUAAAAAUAGCAUCCCACACCAGCACUGUUUUCAUGACGGAUGAUCAGUAGUGGGCUUGGGAUGCAGCCACAGCAAUAGGACUUCAGUGGAUGCUGGACACCUGUGUUGCUCCAACAUCCAUCACUGAUGAUGCCUUCUUGUUUAUCUCCCCAUCAAAGAUCUACUGUGAGUCCAAGACUGAAUUACAUGCUCACAAUUUAGCUACAAGAAAGGCUAGGGGAGUGAAUAUCUGGCUUUGUUAAAUUCAGAGAAAGAUGGAAAUUAUUUUUCACCAAAUAGAAACACUUCCCAAACACUGGAUGUCCUUAAAAUGCUGAAUGGCUCCCACUGCUACCCAAAAAUCCUGCUAUGGUCAGCAUCAGCAGAGAUGGUCUGUGUGUAUUAAACAAUGAUGUCCUCAACUAUUAUAGUGAAGGUUCUGAAGAUUGGAGACAAAGGGACAAACUUUAGGCAAGAAAAUAAAAAAAAAAAAGAAAUAUGACCUUCUUUGAUGCAGCAAUACAACUAAGAGUUGAUGUCUCAUAAAAAUGAUAGACAUCAGAAGGCAACGGAAUGGCAUCUAAUACUGAGAGAAAGCAGCUGCCAACUAAGCUUCUAUAUCCACAUAAAGAACAUGCAAACUUCAAAAGAUAUUAAGAGAUGUUAUGUACGCCAAUAAAAUUUGCCAAAAAUAGGAACAGGAAAGUAGAAAUCAGUAAAAAAAAAAAAAAAAAAUUCACUUAACCAAACUGAGAGAAGAUAAGAAACCUGAAUAAUGGUUUACCUAUUAAGAUAUUUAAUCUAUUGUUACAUAUAUUUACACACACACACACACACACACACACACACACAAUCCCUUCAAGUCCAAAUAAUUUUGUAGUUAAUUCCUCCAAAUAUUUAAUGGAAAAUAUCUUAGUCUUUCAAAGAAUAGGACAAAUGGGGUAUGUUAUAAUAUAUUUUAAGAAGUCAUGAUAAUUUCAAUACUAAACCUUGACAAAGGCAUUAAAAGAGAAAGUGCACACCAAUCUCUGUAAUGAAUACAAAUGCAUGAAGCACACCAAAAUAAUACCAAAUCAGAUCUGAUAUAUAAAUCAAGGAAUACUUAAUGUCCAGUAGGAUUUAUUAAAGGAAGGCAAAGUUGAUUUAACAUUCAAAAAUUAAGCAAUAUAUUAGCCACCUUAACAUAAAAAAAGGAGGAAAACCUAUGAUCAUAUUAUUAGAUGCCAAGAAGUUAUUUGAUAAAAUAGAAUGUACAGCAGGAUAGCAUUGAGAACUAUGUCUAGAUACUCAUGUUGCAACAGAAGAAAGGGUGGGGGAAAAAACUGUAAUUGCAAUGUAUACAUGUAAGGAUAACCUGACCCCCUUGCUGUACAGUGGGAAAAAUAAAAAAAA
ensembl:lncRNA